GCUUAACACAUGCAAGUCGAGCGAGGUCCACUCGGUGGCAACACCGUGUGGUUCCUAGCGGCGAACGGGUGAGUAACACGUGGGCAACCUGCCCCUGACAUCGGGAUAACAGUGGGAAACCGCUGCUAAUACCGAAUAUGAGUUCCCACCGCAUGGCGGGAGCUGGAAAGGACCUCCGGUCAGGGAUGGGCCCGCGGCCUAUCAGCUAGUUGGUGGGGUGACGGCCCACCAAGGCGA
rnacentral:rRNA from 1 species